GCACAGCACACAUGCUGUUGUGAGAGUUCCGUGCUCAUUUCCUUGUGGAUACACCAGGAACUCACUCUGCUGUGACCCUUCAGUACACCUCAUGUUAGGAUUAGAGACAUCUGGGUCAUAUCAGCUGCCACUGUCAUCUUCUAGUCCCUCAAAGUGUCAGCUAAAGAAAUGGGCUCAGAGGAUGCUAUUUGAUUGGACUAUGUUGUAUCUCUGGAGAGCACAGCUGAGAUCAGACUGUGUGUGUAACUCCACUAGACUACGAGGGUGCUUCUGAUAAAGGUAAGAAAUGCAAAUUUGGCCUAAUAUACAAUGUUGCCUGGGGCAGCACUGGGUUGCUUCUACAGACACUUCUGUGUUAAUCAAGGGAAAUCUUAAGGGAAGGUGAAAAUGCUUCUAGAAGGCGACUGGACACCAACACCCUUGCUUGCUGCCUUUGGGCUCUUCCUCUAAGGCCAACAGUGACCUGAAAUUAUUGACUGGCUGGCAGUGCUAAUCAACUGGAGAAAAUGGUUCCAAGGUCAACAACAUCAGACAAAUUCAUUUUAGGACCUAUAUAUGUGCUUAGAAAGACAGAAGUGCUUUUGUAAAGGAUACUAUUUCAGAAAAACAUAAUCAUAGUAACAACUAAUGACGCUAUAAAAUGCUGAUGUGUUGAAUGCUACUUUAGAAAAACAUGUUCAAAUCUAGGAAAACAUUUGUGAUAGAAAACUAUC
rnacentral:antisense_RNA from 1 species